AUUGAACGCUGGCGGCAUGCCUUACACAUGCAAGUCGAACGGUAACAGGUCUUCGGAUGCUGACGAGUGGCGAACGGGUGAGUAAUACAUCGGAACGUGCCCGAUCGUGGGGGAUAACGAAGCGAAAGCUUUGCUAAUACCGCAUAAGAUCUACGGAUGAAAGCAGGGGACCGCAAGGCCUUGCGCGAACGGAGGGGCCGAUGGCAGAUUAGGUAGUUGGUGGGAUAAAAGCUUACCAAGCCGACGAUCUGUAGCUGGUAUGAGAGGACGACCAGCCACACUGGGACUGAGACACGGCCCAGACUCCUACGGGAGGCAGCAGUGGGGAAUUUUGGACAAUGGGCGAAAGCCUGAUCCAGCCAUGCCGCGUGCAGGAUGAAGGCCUUCGGGUUGUAAACUGCUUUUGUACGGAACGAAAAGACUCUUUCUAAUAAAGAGGGUCCAUGACGGUACCGUAAGAAUAAGCACCGGCUAACUACGUGCCAGCAGCCGCGGUAACAC
rnacentral:rRNA from 1 species